rnacentral:rRNA from 1 species
UACGUAGGGUGCAAGCGUUAAUCGGAAUUACUGGGCGUAAAGCGUGGGCAGGCGGUAAUGUAAGACAGAUGUGAAAUCCCCGGGCUCAACCUGGGAACUGCAUUUGUGACUGCAUGGCUAGAGUACGGUAGAGGGGGAUGGAAUUCCGCGUGUAGCAGUGAAAUGCGUAGAUAUGCGGAGGAACACCGAUGGCGAAGGCAAUCCCCUGGACCUGUACUGACGCUCAUGCACGAAAGCGUGGGGAGCAAACAGG